CUACGGGUGGCUGCAGUGAGGAAUAUUGCACAAUGGGGGGAACCCUGAUGCAGCAACGCCGCGUGGAGGAUGACGCAUUUCGGUGUGUAAACUCCUUUUAUAUGUCAAGAAAAUGACGGUAGCAUAUGAAUAAGCACCGGCUAACUCCGUGCCAGCAGGCCGCGGUAAUACGGAGGGUGCAAGCGUUACUCGGAAUCACUGGGCGUAAAGGACGCGUAGGCGGGUUGGAAAGUCAGGUGUGAAAUCCUACAGCUUAACUGUAGAACUGCACUUGAAACUUCUAAUCUAGAGUAUGGGAGGGGGAGAUGGAAUUAGUGGUGUAGGGGUAAAAUCCGUAGAUAUCACUAGGAAUACCUAAAGCGAAGGCGAUCACCUGGAACAUUACUGACGCUAAGGCGUGAAAGCGUGGGGAGCAAACAGGAUUAGAUACCCUCGUAGUC
rnacentral:rRNA from 1 species